rnacentral:rRNA from 1 species
AUACGAAGGGUGCAAGCGUUAAUCGGAAUUACUGGGCGUAAAGCGCGCGUAGGUGGUUUUGUAAGUUGGAGGUGAAAGCCCCGGGCUCAACCUGGGAAUUGCCUCCAAAACUGCAUGACUAGAGUACGGUAGAGGGUAGUGGAAUUUCCUGUGUAGCGGUGAAAUGCGUAGAUAUAGGAAGGAACACCAGUGGCGAAGGCGAUUACCUGGACGUAUACGUACACUGAGGGGCGAAAGCGUGGGGAGCAAACAGGAUUAGAUUCCCUGGUAGUCCACGCCGUAAACGAUGUCAACUAGCCGUUGGGAUCCUUGAGAUCUUAGUGGCGCAGCUAACGCAUUAAGUUGACCGCCUGGGGAGUACGGCCGCAAGGUUAAAACUCAAAUGAAUUGGCGGGG